GACGAACGCUGGCGGCGUGCUUAACACAUGCAAGUCGAGCGGGGAUAGUAAGAAGCUUGCUUUGAACUAUUCUAGCGGCGGACGGGUGAGUAACGCGUGAGCAACCUCUCCUCUACUGGGGAAUAACACAGGGAAACUUGUACUAAUACCGCAUAAGACCACGCUACCGCAUGGUAUAGGGGUCAAANAUUUAUCGGUAGAGGGUGGGCUCGCGUCCGAUUAGGUAGUUGGUGAGGUAACGGCCCACCAAGCCGACGAUCGGUAGCCGACCUGAGAGGGUGGAUCGGCCACAUUGGGACUGAGACACGGCCCAAACUCCUACGGGA
rnacentral:rRNA from 1 species